rnacentral:tRNA from 1 species
GCCCCUGUUGCACAGUAGUUAGAGCAUUGGUCCACCCACCAAAGGGUCACAGGUUCAAUUCCCGGUCAAGGGCA